GAUGAACGCUGGCGGCGUGCCUAAUACAUGCAAGUCGAGCGAACGGACGCGAAGCUUGCUUUUCUGAUGUUAGCGGCGGACGGGUGAGUAACACGUGGAUAACCUACCUAUAAGACUGGGAUAACUUCGGGAAACCGGAGCUAAUACCGGAUAAUAUUUUGAACCGCAUGGUUCAAAAGUGAAAGACGGUCUUGCUGUCACUUAUAGCUGUAUCCGCGCUGCAUUAGCUAGUUGGUAAGGUAACGGCUUACCAAGGCAACGAUGCAUAGCCGACCUGAGAGGGUGAUCGGCCACACUGGAACUGAGACACGGUCCAGACUCCUACGGGAGGCAGCAGUAGGGAAUCGUCCGCAAUGGGCGAAAGCCUGACGGAGCAACGCCGCGUGAGUGAUGAAGGUCUUCGGAUCGUAAAACUCUGUUAUUAGGGAAGAACAUAUGUGUAAGUAACUGUGCACAUCUUGACGGUACCUAAUCAGAAAGCCACGGCUAACUACGUG
rnacentral:rRNA from 1 species